UGCAGUUGUUCUGUAUUUGGAACCUGGGGAUGUGCAGAGGCAGCUCAUUGGUCCCCAGGGAGGAAGACCGCCAGCAGGGCAGGGAAGACGUCACUGGAGCACAAGGCGAUGACGGUGUUGCUAAGACGUCUGAGAGAAAAUGGCAAAGCAGAGCCCAGAGAGGUUGGUGCAGGCUCCCCGGGUCCCUCGGAAGUGGGGCUGGGCCUCAGAGGAUGUGCGUGAGCUGCCGGCCGAGGUGUGUGUCCCCCCUGGCUUAUCCGCCGAAGGGGCUGAACGGAGGGGGAGCGAGGGCCUCGUCCUGGUGCCUGGAAGCCCAGCGCGGCCAGACUUGGGGAUGGAGCCUCCAAGGAGGUGGCGGAGGUUGAAUGAGGUCAUGGGAGGGAUCCCGCAUCUGAUAGGGUUGAGGCCUCACAAGGAGAGAACCCCAUUCUCUCUCUGCUGUCUCCAUCUCUCUUCCCCAUGAGGACACAGUGAGAAGCCAGCCGUCCACAGACCAGGAAAGACCUCUCACCGGAACUUGCCCGUGCCAGCUCCCUGAUCUUGAUGCCCAGCCUCCAGAACUAUGAGAAAUAAAAUCCUGCUGUUUGGGAGUUCCCGUUGUGGC
rnacentral:lncRNA from 1 species